GAAAUGCGAUAAGUAAUGCGAAUUGCAGAAUUCAGUGAGUCAUCGAAUCUUUGAACGCACAUUGCGCCCUUUGGCAUUCCGAAGGGCAUGUCUGUCCGAGCGUCAUUAUCAACCGUCAAGCCUGGCUUGGUGUUGGACUGCUUUGUUAUGGUGACCCGUAACAGGUCCGAAAGUUAAUGGCGGUACCGUGUUGGUCCCCGGAUGCAACGAGCUUUAUGCACGCGUCUGAUGGGCCACGGGUUCUGCCCUGUCUCUUUAUUUCUCAGGUUGACCUCGGAUCAGGUAGGAAUACCCGCUGAACUUAA
rnacentral:misc_RNA from 1 species